rnacentral:rRNA from 1 species
GACGAACGCUGGCGGCGUGCUUAACACAUGCAAGUCGAACGCUGAAGCUCAGCUUUUGUUGGGUGGAUGAGUGGCGAACGGGUGAGUAACACGUGAGUAACCUGCCCCCUUCUUUGGGGUAACGCCCGGAAACGGGUGCUAAUACUGGAUAUUCACUGGUCUUCGCAUGGGGGUUGGUGGAAAGGGUUUUUCUGGUGGGAGAUGGGCUCGCGGCCUAUCAGCUUGUUGGUGGGGUGAUGGCCUACCAAGGCUUUGACGGGUAGCCGGCCUGAGAGGGUGACCGGUCACAUUGGGACUGAGAUACGGCCCAGACUCCUACGGGAGGCAGCAGUGGGGAAUAUUGCACAAUGGGCGCAAGCCUGAUGCAGCGACGCCGCGUGAGGGAUGGAGGCCUUCGGGUUGUGAACCUCUUUCGCUCAUGGUCAAGCCGCAACAAUGGUUGUGGUGAGGGUAGUGGGUAAAGAAGCGCCGGCUAACUACGUG